CAUGAUUGAUGAUUAGAAGAAAGUAAUGAAAGGCUAAGUGCAUUAAGAAGCUCUUAUCUUUUCCAGGAGGAGGACAGAGAAAGCUCAGGACAAGGCACAGGACUUAAUCAUCAGCAUGGCUGGGACUCUAUUCCCUGGGGUGAUGGAAGACUGGCUCUUGAGCUGCAUCCUUGGUAGCUUUUCCUUCUUCAUCUCAUUGCCAGUGAGGACACUGAGGAGGAGAAGGAGGUGAGGAGGAGGAAAAAGAUGAGGAAAAGGAGAAAACCAACCACGAUCCACUGUCACCAAAUGAGCAUGCCAGGUUGCCAUGCUGCACAGCUCCAAGAAGCACCACUGUCCAUGUGGUCAACAUGGAUGGAUCCCUGAGGAGGUGUCCAGCAGCAGCCUGCAUGCCAUGCGUGGCUCUGAAGUCAAUAAUCCUGGAAAAAGGGUCAUUCCUUCCCAAUAAACGACAGUGGGCUAUCUCCCGCAGACACCCACGAAAUUUCCCUCCUUUUCCUUCCAUGGAGGACUGGUGAAAACGUCAUCAUGGACCUGACCUGCAUCUGGAGACCAUCCCUCAGAGGUGCUGCAGAGCUCCUUUCUGCCCAGGCAUUUACGGUGGGUGAGAACUUGGAGAGGCGAGCUCACGAGGGAGUUGGGGUUUUGACUUGGCCAUGACUACUCAGCUCAGGAUGAAAGCUGAUACUUUCUGAGUGCAUUCUUUGAUUAACCCUUCAAUCCUCACAAUCACCCCAUGUCACCAGGAGGAAACUGAGGCAAAGUCCACACAACUGGCAAAUCUGGUAUGACUCUCUUUCUGUCACAGCAGUUUGCUGGCAACAGACCUACAGCCAGAUGCUCAGGGCAGUCCCGACAUCAGGCACAGCAGCUGCACUUUUCCGAAGCCCCUUUGCGGAUGCAGCCCU
rnacentral:lncRNA from 10 species